rnacentral:tRNA from 1 species
GGGAUUGUGGCUCAGUGGUAGAGUACUCACCUAGCAUGUGUGAGGCCCUGGGUUCGAUCCUCAGCACCA